rnacentral:rRNA from 1 species
AGUGAACGCUGGCGGUAGGCCUAACAAAUGCAAGUCGAACGGCAGCACAGUAAGAGCUUGCUCUUACGGGUGGCGAGUGGCGGACGGGUGAGGAAUACAUCGGAAUCUACUUUUUCGUGGGGGAUAACGUAGGGAAACUUACGCUAAUACCGCAUACGACCUACGGGUGAAAGCAGGGGAUCUUCGGACCUUGCGCGAUUGAAUGAGCCGAUGUCGGAUUAGCUAGUUGGCGGGGUAAAGGCCCACCAAGGCGACGAUCCGUAGCUGGUCUGAGAGGAUGAUCAGCCACACUGGAACUGAGACACGGUCCAGACUCCUACGGGAGGCAGCAGUGGGGAAUAUUGGACAAUGGGCGCAAGCCUGAUCCAGCCAUACCGCGUGGGUGAAGAAGGCCUUCGGGUUGUAAAGCCCUUUUGUUGGGAAAGAAAAGCAGCAGGUUAAGACCCCGCUGUUCUGACGGUACCCAAAGAAUAAGCACCGGCUAACUUCGU